AACCUGCGGAGGGAUCAUUACCGAGUUUACAACUCCCAAACCCCUGUGAACAUACCACUUGUUGCCUCGGCGGAUCAGCCCGCUCCCGGUAAAACGGGACGGCCCGCCAGAGGACCCCUAAACUCUGUUUCUAUAUGUAACUUCUGAGUAAAACCAUAAAUAAAUCAAAACUUUCAACAACGGAUCUCUUGGUUCUGGCAUCGAUGAAGAACGCAGCAAAAUGCGAUAAGUAAUGUGAAUUGCAGAAUUCAGUGAAUCAUCGAAUCUUUGAACGCACAUUGCGCCCGCCAGUAUUCUGGCGGGCAUGCCUGUUCGAGCGUCAUUUCAACCCUCAAGCACAGCUUGGUGUUGGGACUCGCGUUAAUUCGCGUUCCCCAAAUUGAUUGGCGGUCACGUCGAGCUUCCAUAGCGUAGUAGUAAAACCCUCGUUACUGGUAAUCGUCGCGGCCACGCCGUUAAACCCCAACUUCUGAAUGUUGACCUCGGAUCAGGUAGGAAUACCCGCUGAACUUAAGCAUAUCAAUAA
rnacentral:rRNA from 1 species